rnacentral:rRNA from 1 species
ACUCAAAGGAAUUGACGGGGGCCCGCACAAGCGGUGGAGUAUGUGGUUUAAUUCGAAGCAACGCGCAGAACCUUACCUGGGCUUAACAUCCACUGACAACCGCAGAGAUGCGGCUUUCCCUUCGGGGACAGUGAGAUAGGUGCUGCAUGGCUGUCGUCAGCUCGUGUCGUAAGAUGUUGGGUUAAGUCCCGCAACGAGCGCAACCCUUGUUCUUAGUUGCCAGCAUUAAGUUGGGCACUCUGAGAAGACUGCCGGUGUUAAACCGGAGGAAGGCGGGGAUGACGUCAAGUCCUCAUGGCCCUUACGUCCAGGGCUACACACGUACUACAAUGGCGAAGACAGAGGGUUGCGAAGCCGCGAGGUGGAGCUAAUCCCAAAAACAUCGUCUCAGUCCGGAUUGAAGUCUGCAACUCGACUUCAUGAAGCUGGAAUCGCUAGUAAUCGCAGAUCAGCACGCUGCGGUGAAUACGUUCCCGGGCCUUGUACACACCGCCCGU